AAGUCCUCAUGGCCCUUAUGGGUAGGGCUUCACACGUAAUACAAUGGCGUGUACAGAGGGUUGCCAACCCGCGAGGGGGAGCCAAUCCCAGAAAGCACGUCGNAGUCCGGANCGGAGUCUGCAACUCGACUCCGUGAANUCGGANUCGCUAGU
rnacentral:rRNA from 1 species